GUGACUCAUUGGACCCAUUGUUGCUGUCUACAACCUCAAAGUGCGCAUUUUUUUUCACUUACCUCUCUAGGGAGCAUAAUUCUCUGCAGGGAGGACAACUGUGAGACCCUGUGGCCUAAAGACUCUCUGAAUCAACAGAAACAGCAUAAAAUUGUGAAAGUGGAGUUCCAGAAGUGGAGAGUAAAAGAGCACACUGCCCAAAAGCUUUGAGUACCUUGUUAAGAAGAAGGUGACCUUCCUUUGCUUUGAUUUUCUUUACUGAAGAGCACAAUGCAGAAAAAGGAUAAGACUUGUGGCUGGACACAGUGGAUUCCAAAAGAGACCCUAGAAGCCCAGUCUCCUUAGAAUGUUUC
rnacentral:lncRNA from 1 species